rnacentral:rRNA from 1 species
CGUAGGUAACCUGCCCCGGAGCGGGGGAUAACAUUUGGAAACAGAUGCUAAUACCGCAUAACAUAAAAGCCGCAUGGCUUUUAUUUGAAAGAUGGCUUUGGCUAUCACUCUGGGAUGGACCUGCGGUGCAUUAGCUAGUUGGUAAGGUAACGGCUUACCAAGGCGAUGAUGCAUAGCCGAGUUGAGAGACUGAUCGGCCACAAUGGAACUGAGACACGGUCCAUACUCCUACGGGAGGCAGCAG